CUUUUGGUGGAGAAAUAGAGAUUUCCUGUAUCUAAUACAGGCUUUGUGAUUCCUCCUUUAAAUCAUCUUCCUGGUCCCCAUGUGUAUGUAUGCCUGUGGCUCUUCUGAGGAGGGACCUGUCCAGCAAGGGUGGGCCAAGGACAGAUGUACAGUUAGAGUGGUCAACAUGUUUAUUGUAUGGAGAUGUGUAAAAUAAGUUUCAAAGCUUUGUCAGAGCCUCAUUAUGAUCUCAAAUCCAUUAGAAUUCAAGACUAAGAUAAAUAAUUGUCCUUGGUGAUAUAAUUAUAUACUGAUGGUAUAAUCUGGGGUAGAAGAAUUACCUGGAGCUCGCAGGAGUUGAUAAAUUGCUUGUGAAAGGGGAUUGAACUGCAGUGCUUCACAAUUAUAGAUAGUUUCCUCCCACCAGCCCCAUUGAUGAUUCCAUUGUUUUCAGGUCUGUGACAUUAAGAAUGAAUAGUGAAUUGUAUAUUUAAUCUGUUUUUUUUCUUUCCUCUACCGCCUCUGUUUGCAGCUCAUUUAUAAUAGCUUUGCUCGGUUCCUAGUCAAGGAGAAAGGAUACAAUAAGGAAUUGCUCACUGUGACUCCAGAGGACUGGGAUUUCUGUUGCAAGGGUUUGGCAUUGGAUCUGGAAGAUGGAACCUUCAUUAAACUUGCAGAGAAUGGCACUGUGCUCAGGGCAAGUCGUGGCACCAAGAUGAUGACUCCAGACACGCUGGCCGAGGCAUAUGGGAAGAAGGAGUGGAAGUACUUCGUGUCUAACACUGGCAUGCCCAGCCACCCAGGAAAAUAUUAUUUUUAUGAUAACUAUUUUGACCUGCCAGGAGCUCUGUUAUGUGCUAGAGUGGUGGAUUCUUUGACAAAGAACAGUGGUCAAAAAACAUUUGAUUUUUGGAAGGAUAUAGUUGCUGGUAUUCAACACAAUUUUAAAAUGUCAGCUU